rnacentral:rRNA from 1 species
UUUCUUCGGAAUGAAAUUGCUUAUGACUGAGUGGCGGACGGGUGAGUAACGCGUGGGUAACCUGCCUUGUACUGGGGGAUAGCAGCUGGAAACGGCUGCUAAUACCGCAUAAGCGCACAGUACCGCAUGGUACAGUGUGAAAAACUCCGGUGGUGUGAGAUGGACCCGCGUCUGAUUAGCCAGUUGGCGGGGUAACGGCCCACCAAAGCGACGAUCAGUAGCCGGCCUGAGAGGGUGACCGGCCACAUUGGGACUGAGACACGGCCCAAACUCC